rnacentral:snRNA from 1 species
GCUGUCUUUGGCAGCAUACAAAAUUAAAACUAUACAGAGUACAUUAACAUGGCCUCUGAGCAAGGGUGACAUGAAAAUUCAUGAAUCGUGCCAUAUUUUU